AACCCUUGCACUGCCAAGACUGCUUUCACAUUCAACAUUAAGUUUCAAUUGCGUUUGCAUUCGCUCCGUGUUUAUAGUUAGUUUUUCUGCUGUUCAGGUCAAUAGGUUUUAAAGACGCAGUUUGAAAGGAGGCACAUCAGGAUGGCGGGUCUUGUGCAUUUAUGUAUUGUGUUCAUUUGGAAAUGACGCAAAUCUCCGCCCUUGUUGACAGGCAUCUAUUCAGUAUCUCACCGUACUGAUGUCAUUUCCCUCACAUAUGGGCCCCAGAGAUAUUUUGUUUGGGUGGCAUUUCUGCACAAUAAACACAUUGUAAUUUUGUUUUUUGUUUUUGAGUAAUUCUUAUACAUGAUGUUACUCAUUACUCCAAAACUUCAGUUUUUUUUUUUCUCCUGAUAUGAUCAGAUUUAUUGUAUUGCUUCAGUUUAAAUUUGUUAUAUCUGUAUAAUAUAUUUAAAUGACAUUAAGGUUGUAAUUAAUUGAUUAAUAUAUAAAUUAAAGUAUUUGAUAAUUUUUAGUUUGGUGGAAUAUAGUGGAAUUUCUGCAAAAGCAAUCCCUUGCGAUGAGCUCUGUUUGGUUUGUUGGCUUAACGCAGUGACCGUUGAAUGUCAUGUCACAAUAUAACACUGAUUCACUUCCUGUCACGUUAAUCCUUGUUAAACCACAAAACGGCCAUCAGCAAAUUGUGCUGCCGUCUAGCAGUAAGGCUACCCAGAUCUGUCACUGAAAAUGCUGAGUUCACUUACACAACGUGUUGAGAAGUUUAACAGUAGGAGGGACCGCAGGUGUGACACAGUUUACUGGUGCUGCUUAAUAGCCUUGUUCAUGCAAACAUGCCAUCAUGUACUUACAUUUGUGUUGUUCCAAACCUCUUUAUUUCUUUAACACAGAAUAAGAUAUUUUGAAGAACUGUUUCUGGCAAUGCAAGUAAUAUCACUGAGGCCUUAAACAACUUUGGACUCUAUUGACUUUCAUUCAACUGACAAAAAUAUAUUUUUUUAUGAAGGAAGUCAUACAGGUUUGGAACAACAUGAAGAAAUUGAAUAUAGUGCAGGUGUACUUAACUAAUAAGUUGCACCUACUUAAGAUAUCUUGAAGAAUGUUUCAGCUGUUUUUGUCUAUUCAGUGAAUGUCGUUGGCUCCUAAAAACAAGAAGAAAGUCAUACAGUAUUGGAACCACAUAAAGAAAGAGCAGGUGUAUUUAACUAAUAAGAUAUUUUAUACUGCGACCUGACCGAUUCUAUAACCUGCGCAAUAAAAACAGCGUUUAUGUCUUGGCACUUACAGGAAUGUGCACUACCGUUAUCCAGCAUCUCACAGCAUGGUGCUAUAACUCAUGAGGACACUUUGAAUUUAUGAGCCCCCUCCAAGGCCUGUUCCUCUAAUCUGACCUGCAAUUAGACAAGAGGAAGAAAUAAGUUGGAGCUUGACUAUAAACUGACCGUUAUCACCUUCACGAAACAAAAUGCAGAUAACGUGCUUGGAGAAAAGAACCCAGUGGCACACCCGACCCAAGAUGACCUUAUUAUGGUGGCCUUUGUUAAAUUUUGAACUUAGUCAAGUUGGAUCAGUAUGAAAUAACCAUAGCAUAACUGUUAUGUGCAGUUGUGUUUAGAAAAAAAAAAUACAGUAGGUCCCUGUAUGUGUGUUUAACAUCACAGAAAAUUCUAAAGAGGCAAAUGGAAUUAGUUAUUUACUGUAAAGGGAAUUUGCAGUGUUUUACUGGGUGAUGUACAGUAAAUAAAUCGACUGUAAUAAAACUGUGUAGAAGGCCUACAAUGAAGUGCUUCUGCAGCAUAACUGAACCAAAUUCAUUGAUUAUAUAUAAAUAUGUAAUAUAUAAUAAUGUUUAAAAAAAGUGUAAACAAAUUGUAAAAAAAAAAGUUUAUAGUAAUAAACAACAUGCAGUAUAAUAAGGGCUGGGCGAUAUAUUGAAUAUUAGCGAUAGUAUCGGAAUAAUUUUGACGACGAUGUAAAAUUUGAAUAUAUCGGCAAUAUUGAAUAUUUCAAAUUCAAGCAUACUUUCCCAAAAGAACGCGCCGAAUGUCCAAAAAAGGAACCUGUAACUGCUGACUGCUCUACGCCCCUCUACUACGAGAGCUUAAUGAUAGCGGUUGCCAGAUAACAAGAGUUUAAAUCUCAGAUUCAGAGCUCCACUGUUACAAGGAUACAUUUUCUGCCCGGUGUUUGCUUAUUUUAAGCAAUCUGGCAACCAUGCGCACGUGCUCACUCCUCAUUGCGGAAGAGCCGCCAACGAUAAUCUGAAAACACUAACAAGCUGGAAUUUCGCGAUCUAAUGAAAGCGCCGUUCAGCCGGUCUGUGUUCUGUCGUGAGAUCUCAACUGUAUUGUUUGCAUUUGUGAUCGCAAAAUAAAUGCACUUAUUCGACCGCUGAUGUUUGAAUAGAGAAACAUAGGCUAUGGCCAAUUGGAAUUACUAAUGAGAAUGAGAAGUUGUCGUCAUAGCACAAAGCCCCUCCCUCGAUAUCACGGUCUCCGCCAUGUUGGAAGGAUACCGGCGGCGAAACCGGAUUGUUUACAUGUGUUGUUAAGAGGAGGUUCUCGCAAUUUUUACCUUCAUGCACACAUAUGGACAUUGGGAAUUAUAUUUUUUUUUUUUUUUAAGUUACUACACAAUGCAGGAGUUUAAAAGCCACAAGUCUUUGGAAAGUUACGAGGCUUUCUGCUGUGGCUGGGUCCAUCUACAGCAGGUGAAGAAAACAGUGUUGUACAGGCCAAAGAAAGUUUAUUCACAUGCGUUUUAGCGUAUUGUAAUUACAUUGCAUUUAGAAUGCACUUCUUGACCAAAAUGACAAAGUAAUUAACUGCGAAUGAACACUAGACUGUAACGAGAUGUUCAAUGUAUACGAAAGUUUCCAACAUGUUUUGAUGUAGGCUAUAGCUGUGUAUGUUUAGUUAUAAUUUGAUUUUAACCCAAUUGGGGGCUGCAAAGUGGACAAACCAGUUCUGGGUUAGCUAGGGUAGUUAAAUGUGUGAUUGCGAGAUGUAAAUGUCCUGGUUAGAUUAAAGCCAUUAACAGCGUGAAUGCAAAGUGACUUACAUUGUAAACAAUAUCCAUAUGUGUGCACUGAGGUAAAUUGUUCAGGUCUCUGUGCUGCUGCAGGGAGCUGCCUGAGAGCUUCUCCAAACACCGCUGUUUUGCGUUUGGUGUGAGCUUGUUCCUGUAAGGUCCCCUUUCUUUCACCUUAUGUUUUUGCAUUGCUUUACUUUCUUCCUAUUCAUUCUUGUAUUCGUAGAUCCGUCUCGAUCUGUUCCGCCGACAAAAUAAAUGCGCAAAAAUGAAAGCGCUCUGAAAUGUUUAGUCGCGCCUCUGUGAAGUUCUGAAGGUAUUGCCCCUGGCAACAGAUAGCGUAUCCUGCCAUCAGGGCUGACCGGCUCAGACCCCUCCCAAAUCGGCACGUGACUCCUCAAUCUCAAUUGGGGAAUUUCACUGAUAUGUUUACCAGUUUCCAUAAUAUAGACAGAGAGAAUGCAAAAGUCUUGGAUAUUAAUUUAUAUAUAUUUAUAUAUAAGAAAUAGCUAUGUGCUUCAGCAACUAGCUCCCCAUCUAAGAGGAUUUUUAAUGUCAGUAGGAACAUAGUUUCAUGCCACAUAUUGUCAAAAAUUUUGACAAUAUCGAGAUAUCAUUUUUUUUAUAUAUCGCCCAGCCCUAAGUAUAAUGUUUGCAUUUCUUUCCCUUACUGUACCGAAAAUGAACCGAACCGUGACUUUAAAACCGAGUUACGUACCGAACCGUGAUUUUUGCAUACUGUUGCACCCCUAAUAUAUAUAUAUAUAUAUAUAUAUAUAUAUAUAUAUAUAUGAACAAAA